rnacentral:rRNA from 1 species
GUGGGGAAUAUUGGACAAUGGGCGAAAGCCUGAUCCAGCCAUGCCGCGUGUGUGAAGAAGGUCUUCGGAUUGUAAAGCACUUUAAGUUGGGAGGAAGGGCAGUAAGUUAAUACCUUGCUGUUUUGACGUUACCAACAGAAUAAGCACCGGCUAACUUCGUGCCAGCAGCCGCGGUAAUACGAAGGGUGCAAGCGUUAAUCGGAAUUACUGGGCGUAAAGCGCGCGUAGGUGGUUCAGCAAGUUGGAGGUGAAAUCCCCGGGCUCAACCUGGGAACUGCCUCCAAAACUACUGAGCUAGAGUACGGUAGAGGGUAGUGGAAUUUCCUGUGUAGCGGUGAAAUGCGUAGAUAUAGGAAGGAACACCAGUGGCGAAGGCGACUACCUGGACUGAUACUGACGCUCAUGCACGAAAGCGUGGGGAGCAAACAGGAUUAGAAACCCGGGUAGUCC